rnacentral:lncRNA from 1 species
UAAACAUAUUCACAUGUACUGUGCACAAUACUUGUAUUCUCCAUGCUGUAAACUCGAUACAUAUACAUACCAUAUAUACACAUAGACAUUGCAUUUACACAUAUAUUCAUAUAUAUGUCUUUGUAUAUCUGCAGAGAAGGAGAGUUGAGAAGACAGUAACAUGGAAGAGAAACUUCUCCCAUCCUCAAAUACGAAUCUCCUUCCAAAUUCGGGGUACAUCCCAGUCUACCAAAAUACCUCUCUUCUGAUUCCUAUUAGUAACAAGAAGACAAUGAAGGAACGAACAUGGAGUAAAUCAUACCUUAGAUGA